rnacentral:rRNA from 1 species
GAUGAACGCUGGCGGCGUGCCUAACACAUGCAAGUCGAGCGAUUCUCUUCGGAGAAGAGCGGCGGACGGGUGAGUAACGCGUGGGUAACCUGCCCUGUACACACGGAUAACAUACCGAAAGGUAUGCUAAUACGAGAUGAUAUAUAAAAGUUGCAUGACUUUUAUAUCAAAGCUUUUGCGGUACAGGAUGGACCCGCGUCUGAUUAGCUAGUUGGUAAGGUAACGGCUUACCAAGGCGACGAUCAGUAGCCGACCUGAGAGGGUGAUCGGCCACACUGGAACUGAGACACGGUCCAGACUCCUACGGGAGGCAGCAGUGGGGAAUAUUGCACAAUGGGCGAAAGCCUGAUGCAGCAACGCCGCGUGAGCGAUGAAGGCCUUCGGGUCGUAAAGCUYUGUCCUCAAGGAAGAUAAUGACGGUACUGAGAGAGGCCC